CGAACGGGUGGAGUAACACGUGGGCAACCUGCCCAAAAGAGGGGGAUAACACUUGGAAACAGGUGCUAAUACCGCAUAACCAUAGUUACCGCAUGGUAACUAUGUAAAAGGUGGCUAUGCUACCGCUUUUGGAUGGGCCCGCGGCGCAUUAGCUAGUUGGUGGGGUAAAGGCUUACCAAGGCAAUGAUGCGUAGCCGAACUGAGAGGUUGAUCGGCCACAUUGGGACUGAGACACGGCCCAAACUCCUACGGGAGGCAGCAG
rnacentral:rRNA from 1 species